AAUAAAUCCAGGCUACGCAUGUGUCAUAUAUAGUAGAACCUCGUUCGCAAGAACAUGCACUGCCUGCUCGUCUAAGCUUCAAACAUCGAUAUAUGAUAAUGGAUUGCCAAGUAGAAGAAACUGAGCAUUUUCAGCGUCUGUUCCUCUUCUAAUCCGAUCAAACUUCCAAGAAUGCAAAAACCAGGCAUUGGUGUUCUGUACGGGGAGAGAGCUUUCACUGAAAGAACUGCACAGAAAAAUUUUACAUGUGUCAAGGGAGCGAAUUUGAACAACACAAAUCUCAUCUUCCGGCCGAUCAUUGCAGUUCACUAAAGAUUGCUUGAACGAGAUCAUUCGCCUGGGUCCAUACCAACCCACUUGGAAAUUAGCACAGCAGAUUGGUACGUCGUGAUGUUAUUGUUGGUAAUCUUCACUCUAUGUGCAAGGUUCAAAUCACUGUACGUGUAUGCCACGUGCUAUGAACAGGAGAAACAUACUCCAGCGCUUCUGUAACCCGUUAAUUUACUCGCUUGACAUCAGGUUACUUGUGGGCAUUAACAUAAGCUUUUAUACUGCUUUGGACUGGUUGUAAAAAUAGUCUCUUUACGACACUAUGAAGUUAAAAAAAAAUGGAUGAGUCCCCAAAAGCUAGGAACAACUUGAACCAAGCCAGAAAUGCAUCCAGGUAAGACAAUAGUCUGUGUUUAGUAGGAUUGAUCCAGAACGAAUUGCUUCAAAACAACCACAUAAUCAAUACCGAGCUACACUUUCUCGAAAGGCAUCUAAAAGACAGUCAGAUAUGUAGUUAGCGAAUGUUCAAACUGUCCCAGAAAUAGUACAGAAAAAUGUUACAACAAUGUUACCGCAGAAAGUUCCCUGAGAGAUGUUGAAGUAGUUGUGAGUUAGAAUUUACCGACUAGCAAUAUGAACAUUAACCAUUGCCGGUCGCAGACUAUGACCAUUUGAAACUCACAUAGUACAUGAUAAUCUAUACCGAUAAAAAUAAUCUAACAUACUGAUAUAGGUCUUACGCCCUUUAUGGAAAGUGACAGAAACGGUCUUCAUCCACAUAGCGGGACUUGCAGAUCUAAACAUUGUGAAGACAUGAAGCAAAGAAAGAAACAUAUAUGUAAAUGUAUUUGUGUAGUUUGUGUGGUGUAGUGUGUGUGUGUGUGUGUGUGUGUGUGUGUGUGUGUGUGUAGAAGAGUAUCAAGGCCUAGCAUUUGAAGUAGAUUAUAUCCUUAGAGUCACAAGAUGGUCAUCGUGACUGGUAUACAAGGAACCGCCUCAAAGAAGACAAAAGCCGGACAUAGAAAACUGGAAUGGCCAGACGUCAUAUAAAGUACACAUCUGAGGGCCAAACUCUGAAAACUGCGUGAAUUUCUUAAAAUGGAGAAUAUUACUGAAAUAUUAUAUUCCUAUUUAACGAAGAAUUCCAGUAUUUCUUUAGGGGAGCAGGGCUCCUGUAAAAAACAUGAGCAAAUAACGCAAAGCAUUUCAUUCUGACACCCUAACAGAAGUACCUAGUCGCCCGCUUGCAACUGAUGAAAGCGAGCAUUAAAGGAAUCAAUCUUCCCAGAUGACAUAAUAUAUGGUGAAACAUCUCUUUGCAAAUAAAUGCCUGGAAUAGGAAUAUAAA